UACGUAGGGGGCAAGCGUUGUCCGGAAUCAUUGGGCGUAAAGCGCGUGUAGGCGGUUCGGUAAGUCUGCUGUGAAAGUCCAGGGCUCAACCCUGGGAUGCCGGUGGAUACUGUCGGGCUAGAGUGCGGAAGAGGCGAGUGGAAUUCCCGGUGUAGCGGUGAAAUGCGUAGAUAUCAAGAGGAACACCUGCGGCGAAGGCGGGUUGCUGGGCCGACACUGACGCUGAGGCGCGAAAGCCAGGGGAGCGAACGGG
rnacentral:rRNA from 1 species